AUAAUACUCCCUCCAUCCGGAAUUACUUGUCAUCAAAAUGGAUGUGUGUAAAACUAAAAUACAUCUAGAUACAUCCAUUUCAAUGACAAGUAUUUUCGGACGGAGGGAGUAGUAG
rnacentral:pre_miRNA from 1 species